GAUUAACAGGGGAAGAAUUAGGAAAGAGGACACGCAAGACCACAGUAAGAGAUGGAAAUAAGAGAAUAUUCCUGAUUUCCACUGGAUGACUUUGACUGGUAUGAUUUCAUUCUCUGAAAGUGUUAACCAGGGUGCAGCAUGGCCAGAAACCAUUCCGAGCCUCAUGAAGUGGGCAAGUCAGGUUUGGUCAUUUUUGUUCUACUGGCUUUGAAGAAGCAAGCUGCUAUGAUGUAAACUGACUAUGGAGAAGGCCACGUGACAGGGAAUUGGGUGUAGACUCUAGGAACUGAGGUCUUAAUCCUACAACUGCAAGGGGAUUAAAGUCUACCAACAACCACCUGGGCUUGGAAGAGGACCGCUGAUCUCCAGAUGAGAACGGAGCCUGACCAACACCUUGAGUGCCACCUUGUGAGACUCUGAGCAAAGACCCAGCUAAGCCACACUUAGACUCUUGACGUACAGAAAAUGUGAGAUAAGG
rnacentral:lncRNA from 1 species